UCUCGAUUCUAUUUCGUUGGCUUUCGGAGUCGAGGUAAUGAUUAAUAGGGAUAGACGGGGGCAUUCGUACUGCGACGUUAGAGGUGAAAUUCUUGGAUCGUCGCAAGACGAACUACUGCGAAAGCAUUUGCCAAGAAUGUUUUCAUUAAUCAAGAACGAAAGUUAGGGGAUCGAAGACGAUCAGAUACCGUCGUAGUCUUAACCAUAAACUAUGCCGACUAGGAAUCGGGCGACGUUAUUCUCAUGACUCGCUCGGCGCCUUAUGGGAAACCAAAGUUUUUGGGUUCCGGGGGGAGUAUGGUCGCAAGGCUGAAACUUAAAGGAAUUGACGGAAGGGCACCACCAGGGGUGGAGCCUGCGGCUUAAUUUGACUCAACACGG
rnacentral:rRNA from 1 species